UAUUGCACAAUGGGCGCAAGCCUGAUGCAGCCAUGCCGCGUGUAUGAAGAAGGCCUUAGGGUUGUAAAGUACUUUCAGCGGGGAGGAAGGUGUUAAGAUUAAUACUCUUAGCAAUUGACGUUACCCGCAGAAGAAGCACCGGCUAACUCCGUGCCAGCAGCCGCGGUAAUACGGAGGGUGCAAGCGUUAAUCGGAAUUACUGGGCGUAAAGCGCACGCAGGCGGUCAAUUAAGUCAGAUGUGAAAGCCCCGAGCUUAACUUGGGAAUUGCAUCUGAAACUGGUUGGCUAGAGUCUUGUAGAGGGGGGUAGAAUUCCACGUGUAGCGGUGAAAUGCGUAGAGAUGUGGAGGAAUACCGGUGGCGAAGGCGGCCCCCUGGACAAAGACUGACGCUCAGGUGCGAAAGCGUGGGGAGCAAACAG
rnacentral:rRNA from 1 species